rnacentral:lncRNA from 10 species
GCACUUUGGGAGGCCAAGGCAGAUGGAUCACCUGAGGUCAGGGGUUCUACACCAGCCUGGCCAACACGGCAAAACCCUGUCUCUACUAAAAAUACAAAAAUUAGCUGGGUGUGGUGGCAUGCGCCUAUAAUCCCAGCUACUUGGGAAGCUGAGGCAGGAGAAUUGCUUGAACCCAGGAUGUGGAGGCUGCAGUGAGCAGAGAUUGUGCCACUGCACUCCAACCUGGGCAACACAGUGAGACUCCAUCUCAAAAAAAAAUACAUAUAUAUAUCUAAUUAGUGGAAUUAAAAUGCUCCAUUAGAAAAUAUUCACCCCAUGCAAAAGAAAGCAGUUAAGGAAGGAUACAGAAACAACGUGCUCCGUGAGGUGCAUGAAACAGAAAAUAAGAUGUGGCAGACACAGACCCAACUAUAUCAAUCAAAACAGUAGAUGUGAAUGGAGUGAACAACCCAAUGAAAAGCAGACACAGAUCCAACUAUAUAAAUCAUAACAUUAGAUGGGAAUGGAGUGAACAACCCAAUCAAAAGCAGACACAGACUCAACUAUAUCAAUCGUAACAUUAGAUGUGAAUGGAGUGAACAACCCAAUCAAUAGCAGACACAGACUCAACUAUAUCAAUCGUUAAGAAUGAAGAACCCGAUCAAAAGCAGACACAGACCCAACUAUAUCAAUCAUAACAUUAGAUGUGAAUGAAGUGAACAAUCAAAAGCAGACACAAACCCAACUAUAUCAAUCGUUAUUAAUGGCAUGAACAACCCAAUCAAAGGCAGACACAGACCCAACUAUAUCAAUCGUUAUGAAUGGAGUGAACAAUGCAAUCAAAAGAAGACACAGACCCAACUAUAUCAAUCAUUAUGAAUGGAGUGAACAAUCCAAUCAAAAGCAGACACAGACUCAACUAUAUGAAUUGUAACAUUAAAUGUGAAUGGAGUGAACAAUCCAAUCAAAAGCAGAAACAGACCCAACUAUAUAAAUCGUUACUAACGGCAUGAACAACCCAAUCAAAAGCAGACACAGACCCAACUAUAUAAAUCGUUAUGAAUGGAGUGAACAACCCAAUCAAAAGCAGACACAGACCCAACUAUAUCAAUUGUACCAUUAGAUGUGAAUGGAGUGAACAACCCAAUCAAAAGCAGACACAGACGCAGCUAUAUCAAUCAUUAUGAAUGGUGUGAACAACCCAAUCAAAAGCAGACAGAGACCUAACUAUAUCAAUCGUAACACUAGAUGUGAAUGGAGUGAACAACCCAAUCUAAAGCAGACAGAGACCCCACUAUAUCAAUCGUAACAUUAGAUGUGAAUGGAGUGAACAACCCAAUCAAAAGCAGACACAGACCCAACUAUAUCAAUCGUACCAUUAGAUGUGAAUGGAGUGAACAACCCAAUCAAAAGCAUACACAGACCCCACUAUAUCAAUCGUAACAUUAGAUGUGAAUGGAGUGAACAACCCAAUCAAAAGCAGACACAGACCCAACUAUAUCAAUCAUAACAUUAGAUGUGAAUGGAGUGAACAACCCAAUCAAAAGCAGACACAGACCCCACUAUAUCAAUCGUAACAUUAGAUGUGAAUGGAGUGAACAACCCAAUCAAAAGCAAACACAGACCCCACUAUAUCAAUCGUAACAUUAGAUGUGAAUGGAGUGAACAACCCAAUCAAAAGCAGACACAGACCCAACUAUAUCAAUCGUUAUGAAUGGAGUGAACAACCCAAUCAAAAGCAGACACAGACCCAACUAUAUCAAUUGUAACAUUAGAAGUGAAUGGAGUGAAGAACCCAAUCAAAAGCAGACACAGACCCGACUAUAUCAAUCGUAAUUAAUGGCAUGAACAACCCAAUCAAAAGCAGACACAGACCCAACUAUAUCAAUCGUUAUGAAUGGAGUGAACAACCCAAUCAAAAGCAGACACAGACCCAAUUAUAUCAAUCGUAACAUUAGAUGUGAAUGGAGUGAAGAACCCAAUCAAAAGCAGACACAGACCCAACUAUAUUAAUCGUUAACAUUAGAUGCGAAUGGAGUGAAGAACCCAAUCAAAAGCAGAUACAGACCCAACUAUAUCGUUAUUAAUGGCAUGAACAACCCAAUCAAAGGCAGACACAGACCCAACUAUUUCAAUCGUUAUGAACGGAGGGAACAACCCAAUCAAAAGCAGACACAGACCCAACUAUAUCAAUUGUACCAUUAGAUGUGAAUGGAGUGAACAACCCAAUCAAAAGCAGACACAAGACCCAGCUAUAUCAAUCGAACCAUUAGAUUUGAAUGGAGUGAACAACCCAAUAAAAAGCAGACACAUAUCCAGCUAUAUCAAUUACAUGUGAAUGCAGUGAACAACCCAAUCAAAGGAGACGCAGACCCAGCUAUAUCAAUCGAACCAUUAGAUGUGCAUGGAGUGAAGAACGCAAUCAAAAGCAGACACAGACCCAACUAUAUCGAUCAUAACAUUAGAUAUGAAUGGAGUGAACAACCCAAUCAAAAGCAGACACAGACCCAACUAUAUGAAUUGUUAACAAUGAAGAACCCAAUCAAAAGCAGACACAGACCCAACGAUAUUAAUCGUAAUAUUAGAUGUGAAUGGAGUGAACAACCCAGUCAAAAGCAGACACAGACCCAACUAUCUCAAUCGUUAUGAAUGGCAUGAACAACCCAAUCCAAAGCAGACACAGACCCAGCUAUAUCAAUCGUACCAUUAGAUGUGAAUGGAGUGAAGAACCCAAUCAAAAGCGGACACGGAGCCAACUAUAUCAAUCAUAACAUUAGAUGUGAAUGGCGUGAACAAUCCAAUUAAAAGCAGAGACCCAACUAUAUGAAUCAUAAUAUUAGAUGUGAAUGGAGCGAACAACCCAAUCAAAAGCAGACACAGACCCAACUAUAUCAAUUGUAACAUUAGAUGUGAAUGGAGUGAACAACCCAAUCAAAAGCAGACACAGACCCAACUAUAUCAAUCGUAACAUUAGAUGUGAAUGGAGUGAACAACCCAAUCAAAAGCAGACAGACCCAACUAUAUCAAUUGUAACAUUAGACGUGAAUGGAGUGAAGAACCCAAUCAAAAGCAGACACAGACCCAACUAUAUCAAUCGUUAUUAAUGGCAUGAACAACCCAAUGAAAAGCAGACACAGACCCAACUAUAUCAAUCAUUUUGAAUGGAGUGAACAACCCAAUCAAAAGCAGACACAGACCCAACUAUAUCAAAUCGUUAUCAAUGGUGUGAACAACCCCAUCAAAAGCAGACACAGACCCAACUAUACCAAUCGUAACAUUAGCUGUGAAUGGAGUGAACAACCCAGUCAAAAGCGGCCACAGACCCAACUAUAUCAAUUGUUAUGAAUGGCUUGAACAACCCAAUUAAAAGCAGACACAGACCCAACUAUAUCAAUUGUACCAUUAGAUGUGAAUGGAGUGAACAACCCAAUCAAAAGGCAGACUGGGUUUUAAAAAAUAGUUGAACUAUAUGUUGUCUACAGGAGACACACUUUAGAUUCAAAUACAGAAAUAGAUACAAUGUAACAAGAUAGGAAAAGAUAUAUCAUCCAAACAGCAACCACAGGAAAGCUGGAAUGACUGUACUAAUAGACAAAGUAGACGUUAAAACAAAAAAUAUUAUUAGAGAUAAUAUGUAAUGAUCAACAGGUCAAUCCAUCAAGAAGAUAUAACAAGUAAAAUGUAUGCACCAAUAAUACAGCAAUAAGUAAAUGAAGCAAAAACUGAACACAAACAGAAAUUGAGAAAGAGACAUUCCAUAAUAAUAGUUGGAGACUUCAAUACCGCACUGUGUUGUUUUUUUUUUUUUUUUUUAGACGGAGUCUUGCUCUGUCAUCCAGGCUGGAGUGCAGUGUUGCGAUCUCGACUCACUGCAACCUCUGCCUCCCAGGUUCAAGUGAUUCUCCUGCCUCAGCCUCCUGAGUAGCUGGGACUACAGGCUUGCACCACUGUGCCCAGCUAAUUAAUACUGCACUUUCAAUAAUGGGUAGAACAAGUACACAGGAGAGUCAAGGAAACAGAAGGUGUGAACACCACCAUAAGCCAAAUGGACCUCACAGACAUCCGUAGAACAUGGCACCGGACAACUCAAUAUACAUUUUUUCAAUGUGCACACGGAACAGACUCCAGAACAGGACAUAUACCAGGCCAUAGAACCAACCUCAAUACAUUUAAAAGGAUAGAAAUAAUACAAAUAUACUCUCCAUCCACAAUAGAAUAUUAGAAAUUAAUAACAGGAGAAAAAUUGGGAACCUCACAAAUAUGUGGAAAUUAAACAUAUUCCUAGAUAAUCAAAGAGGCCAACCAAGAAAUCAG